rnacentral:lncRNA from 1 species
GUGAAAGUGAGUGCAAGUGGUUAGUGACAAAAAAAAAACAAAACUAAAAACUAAAAUGGCAUCUAAAAUUGUGUGUGCUCUAAGUCCUUUGAAUUAACAGAAUGGUAUGCUUAUUAUGAGGAAUUCUCGGAUCUUAUAAAUGCUUUUGAAGUAAUUAUGACCAAAGGGUCAAGCAAAGGGUCAAGCUAUCAAGAAGCAUCAACGUCAGGCGCAUCAAAACGUCCUAGAUUGGAGACUUCUCUGGAAAAAGCCAAUAUCACCUGUACAACUUGCGGCGAAAGUUACCUGCCUACAUAAGAAUGCAACAGCAGCGCAACUCGAGGAUAAUCAAAAUGUAAUUGUAAUUUCAACAGAUUCGAGAUUUCUGAUAAAAGUGACCGGCUCGAUUUAAAAGAAUUUUAUAAUUGCAAAGCGGACUUAACCAAAUUAGUGCGUUACUGUAUGAGUGAGUACGGGUCGGUGAAGUUCAAUCUAAAAGUAUAUGGACUGUAUGUCAAACAAACGGAUGAUGAAACCUUAACGGAAACGAUGAAGCAUUUCGUGACAUCAUAUAAGCCUAUAUAUGCAAAUGAGGAAAUUGAUGAACAUCUGAAUGAUGGCCUUGACCUUUUAAUCACUCUAAGUAGUGAAUUACAGGAGAAGGAUUCAGGGUGGGCAAUAAAAAAAUUUGAAUAUUUUGAGCUGACAGUAAUUAAAUUGGAACAUAUCGCUGUAAAUAGAUUUAUACCAGCUCCCAAUAAAAUACAAUGUCGAAAUGCAUUCGAAAUGAAUUAUAAUUGUAAAAAUGAAGAUGAUUAUUGCUUCAAGUGGUCAAUUUUAGCAUCAUUGGCAUAUAGACGGUACUUGAGCACUUCAUUCGCAACAGCAAACCAAAAAAAAAGCACGAGAUAACUUAACAAACCCUUCAUACUAUCGAAUGAUAGACGUCAGGCAAGACAUAAUUUGCUAUGAAGGAGUGAGACUGGAUUUUUCUUGGAUUGAGUUUCCAAUCACAAACAAAGGAAUAAAGAGAUUCGAAUUAUUCCAAUAUCCAAUAAUAUUAGCAUAAAUGUGUAUGAAUUCGAUGACAAUGGAAAAAACGUUGUAGGACCGACAGUGAGGACUAAAGCAAUUCGAGGACAUCACAUCAACCUGUUAGUGAUUAAUAAUGACUCUUUGCAAAGGAUGCAUUAUGCCUAUAUAACGUGCAUGAAAAAAUUAUGCUAUUCUCAACAUAAUAAAUCCCAUUGCUCGGCAUUUUUUUUUUUCUUGAAAAUUGUUUACAAUUUUAUACUACCACAAAUACCACUCAUGACAAUAAAGAGUGCGGAAAAGUUGCUGCCCAAUAUCCUACUCCAAAUACCACAACGGUUUUUAAAAGUUUCAUCAAAAAACUAUCUGCGCCUGUGGUCAUUUAUGCUGAUAUCGAGGCUGUAUUGGAAAGUUUUCAUAGGAAUCUGAAUGAUCCCUAAAAAUCAUCUACCACUAUGGCUCAGAAGCAUAUGGCAUGUGCAGUGUCAUUUUAUGUUGUACAUGAAUAUAAUCAUCAUUUAAAUUAGAUGUGCACAUACGAAGGUGAAUAGAUAGAUAUAUAGAAGAUAUAUAGAUUCAAAUAAAUUUUGAAAUUCGAGCUUAGAAAAACUUGCUAGUUAUAUGGAUCCAUAAAAUGUAAAAAAUAAGUAUCGAGGGGAAAAAUUUGAUAUGUUAAGGCGAAAAGGAGUAUUUCCGUACGAAUAUUUAGAUAGCUUUAACAAAUUUGACGAUCUCCAACUACCUUAGAGAGAAUUUUUUUUCAACUCACUGAGUGAUGAGGAGUGUAGUUUAGAAGACUAUAACUUUGCUCAGAAGGUUUGGAGAACAUUUAAUUGCAGCAGUAUUCGAGAUUAUUUGAAAAUAUACUUAGAAAGCGAUGUUUUAAUUCUUGCUGAUGUAUUUGAAAACUUUAGGAGUAUUUGCUCACGAAUAUAUAAGUUAGACCCAAUAAAUUAUGUUACUGCUCCUUCUGUUUCAUGCGAUGCAAUCCUUAAAUAUACAAAGAUAGAAUUGGAGAUAGUUAGUGAUCCGGAUAUAUAUAACUUUUUUAAAACUUCAGUACGCGGAGGCUUAACUCAAUGCACUCAACGGAUAGCUACUGCAAAUAAUAAAUAUUUAAAUGAAAGAUUCAAGGCCAGUGAUCCUAUAAACUAUCUAGCGUAUAUUGAUGCUAACAAUUUAUAUGGUUGGGCAAUGAGCCAGCCACUUCCAUAUUCCAAUUUCAAAUUUCUAAGUAACGAUGAAAUUCAAUCUUUCAACACUCUAAGUAUAUCUGCUUGCGGUAAUGUAGGAUACAUCUUAGAAGUAGAUCUGAAAUAUCCUGAUACUAUACACAAUAAACAUUAUAGUUUACCAUUCUGCCCCGAAAAUAAGAUUCCUCCAGUCCGAAAACAAUCAAAAUUGAUAGCGGACUUAUCUGAUAAAAAUAAUUAUAAAAUACAUUUAAACCAGUUGCAGUUAUUCAUAGAGAAAGGUAUGAUUUUAGAAAAAAUAUCGCGAGUAUUAUCUUUUAAGCAAUCCUGUUGGCUUAAACCCUAUAUUAAUCUAAAUACAUCCCAUAGAAAAGAAGCUAAGAAUGAGUUUGAGAUAAACUUUUAUAAAUUAAUGGUUAAUGCUGUCUACGGUAAAACGAUGGAGAAUGUAGAAAAGCGACGGGAGGUCGCAUUAAUUAAACAUUAUAAUUCAAGACAAAAUUCCGCAGGGUUUAGACAACGCAUAGCUAGACAUAAUUUUCACAGUGUUGAAACCUUUGGUGAAAAUUUAGCUGCCAUUGAGUCCACUAAAUCAAGAAUUUUGUAUAAUAAACCCAUAUACAUUGGAGUUUGUGUCUAGAACUUUCAAAAUGGUUAAUGUAUGACUAUUUCUAUAAUUUUCAUGCUCUAAAAUGUCCAUCAUCAAAAAUACUCUACAUGGAUACAGAUUCAUUUAUUAUAUCAUCAAAAGAAGAUGUUUAGGGUUAGAUUUUAAGGUUAAUUAAAGACAAUCCUACUCGCUUUGAUACCUCAAAUUACCAAGAGUCAAACAUUUUCGGGUAUAAUGACCUCAUUUGCACGGUUAAAAGCGAAAGCAUUCUCUUAUUUAGUUGUCAAAGACAAUAGCACUGACCAUAACGUCAAAAAGAUUAAAAGAGUAAAAAAGUGGGUAGUUAAACGAUUAUCACAUGCUCAGUAUAUUGAAUGCAUUAAACAUAAAAAAAGAAGUAGAGGUCAUAAAAUGUAUACUGAAAUUGUAAAUUAAUAAAG